rnacentral:rRNA from 1 species
AAAUGAAUAGACGGGGGCCCGCACAAGCGGUGGAGCAUGUGGUUUAAUUCGAAGCAACGCGAAGAACCUUACCAGGUCUUGACAUACGAAUGCUAUUUGUAGAGAUACGAAGUUCCUUCGGGACAUUCGAUACAGGUGGUGCAUGGUUGUCGUCAGCUCGUGUCGUGAGAUGUUGGGUUAAGUCCCGCAACGAGCGCAACCCUUAUGUUUAGUUGCCAUCAUUUAGUUGGGCACUCUAGACAGACUGCCGGUGACAAACCGGAGGAAGGUGGGGAUGACGUCAAAUCAUCAUGCCCCUUAUGACCUGGGCUACACACGUGCUACAAUGGGACAUACAACGAGCAGCUAACCAGUGAUGGUGUGCGAAUCUCUGAAAGUGUCUCUCAGUUCGGAUUGCAGGCUGCAACUCGCCUGCAUGAAGCCGGAAUCGCUAGUAAUCGCGGAUCAGCACGCCGCGGUGAAUACGUUCCCGGGCCUUGUACACACCGCCCGU